rnacentral:rRNA from 1 species
GUCUACUGCCAUACUACCCUGAAUGUGCCUGAUCUUGUCUGAUCUCAGAAGCUAAGCAGGGUCAGGCCCUGCUAGUACUGGCCAGGUACAAUGGCUG